rnacentral:lncRNA from 1 species
UUCCAAUCAUUGGGUUCCAAUUGGGUGGGCUAGAAUUUCUAAACUUGUUAAAACAGUGCAAGUUGAUGCAGGGUUGUGCACUCAGCAGUUCAAUUUCUUAGGUGAUGAGGAUGAGGUAACUGUUGCUGAGUUAGCUGCCCCAUACUAGGAACACACAGCUGGGCCGAUAUGGUGGUGCCAUCUUGCUGCAGGUCACCCUUCUGUGGAUGCAUGGCUCAACAAUGCCCCGUGGUUACAUCAUACAAUUAGUGUUGCUUUGAGAGAUGAAAGUAGAUAGAUAAGUGAUCGGAUGAAACACCUUUUAUAUGAGGUAUAUCCCCUAACAAUUCUAGCAAAUUUCUUGCUUUAU